CCGAUUGCUGACGCGGAGGGACAUUA
rnacentral:rRNA from 1 species